rnacentral:rRNA from 1 species
UACGUAGGGUGCGAGCGUUGUCCGGAUUUAUUGGGCGUAAAGAGCUCGUAGGCGGUUUGUCGCGUCGGCCGUGAAAUCUCCACGCUUAACGUGGAGCGUGCGGUCGAUACGGGCAGACUUGAGUUCGGUAGGGGAGAUUGGAAUUCCUGGUGUAGCGGUGGAAUGCGCAGAUAGUCAGGAGGAACACCAAUGGCGAAGGCAGAUCUCUGGGCCGUAACUGGACGCU